rnacentral:lncRNA from 1 species
CAAACUACCAGACUGGUUACAUUAUUAUAAUUCUAAACCGUUUAAUGGAUUAGUAAACCAUCGUACCAAAACAAAAUAAAUUAUAAGAGCCACACACUAUUUUUAAACCGUGACAUAUUAUAGUUAUGAAACUAACAGUAGACCUUUGUACCAAAACUAACUUCGAUUAUAUGACCCACCAGCUAUUUCUAAACCUGUAACAUAUUAUACUUAUUAAAUUAAUACGAAAAUUACACUUCAAACAUGAUCUGUAUUAAAGACCUAAGACACUAUAGGUUAUACGAUGAUACCACAUUAUUCAUCACAUCUUUAUCCUGC